AAACAGGUGCAAAAAAUGAUAGGCUGUUCAGCUAAAAUGAUCUCCAAUGCCUUAAAAUGGAGAGCAAAACCAGAGAGACGUGGAAGAAAACGGAAGACAACCAUCAAAAUGGAUAGAAGAAUAACCAGAAUGGCAAAGGCUCAGCCAAUGAUCACCUCCAGGAUGAUCAAAGACAGUCUGGAGUUACCUGUAAGUACUGUGACAGUUAGAAGACGUCUGUGUGAAGCUAAUCUAUUUUCAAGAAUCCCCCGCAAAGUCCCUCUGUUAAAAAAAGGCAUGUGCAGAAGAGGUUACAAUUUGCCAAAGAACACAUCAACUGGCCUAAAGAGAAAUGGAGGAACAUUUUGUGGACUGAUGAGAGUAAAAUUGUUCUUUUUGGGUCCAAGGGCCACAGGCAGUUUGUGAGACGACCCCCAAACUCUGAAUUCAAGCCACAGUACACAGUGAAGACAGUGAAGCAUGGAGGUGCAAGCAUCAUGAUAUGGGCAUGUUUCUCCUACUAUGGUGUUGGGCCUAUUUAUCGCAUACCAGGGAUCAUGGAUCAGUUUGCAUAUGUUAAAAUACUUGAAGAGGUCAUGUUGCCCUAUGCUGAAGAGGACAUGCCCUUGAAAUGGUUAUUUCAACAAGACAAUGACCCAAAACACACUAGUAAACGGGCAAAGUCUUGGUUCCAAACCAACAAAAUUAAUGUUAUGGAGUGGCCAGCCCAAUCUCCAGACCUUAAUCCAAUUGAGAACUUGUGGGGUGAUAUCAAAAAUGCUGUUUCUGAAGCAAAACCAAGAAAUGUGAAUGAAUUGUGGAAUGUUGUUAAAGAAUCAUGGAGUGGAAUAACAGCUGAGAGGUGCCACAAGUUGGUUGACUCCAUGCCACACAGAUGUCAAGCAGUUUUAAAAAACUGUGGUCAUACAACUAAAUAUUAGUUUAGUGAUUCACAGGAUUGCUAAAUCCCAGAAAAAAAAAAUGUUUGUACAAAAUAGUUUUGAGUUUGUACAGUCAAAGGUAGACACUGCUAUUUUUUUGAACACACCCCUUUCAACUAAUUGCCCAAUUGCACAGCCUUAAGAGCGUGCAUAUCAUGAAUGCUGGGUCUUGUUUGUUUUCUGACAAUCUACUGAACCUACUGGUAACUUGUUUGCCACAUAGCAAUAAAAAAUAUACUAAAAACCUUGAUUAUUCUGGUUAGUCACAUUGUACUGCUAUUAUUUUGAACAAUACUGUAUGUGGUUGUUUAGCAGAUGUACAGUGUAUUUGUUCGGAAAUUAAAUUAAAUUACAUUAUAUUUAAAUAAGUUAUAAUUAUUUAAUUUUUUUGUCAAUGUUAGAGCAAUUUCUGAAACUGUAUUCUUUUGAAUUUUUUUUUUCUUUCCAGCUAUCCAUCUGGUACAGAAAAGUUGACACUAGUAAAGGAGAUUGUGUCAUUGUUCCUCUCAUUAAGGAUUUGGCGAAAAUGAGGGACAGGAGCAUUUUUUGAUGGACCAUCACACAGUAGAUUUAUAGAAAUGAGACUAUGGAACAUCAGACAGAAGCUUCAACAGAGCCAGCGGAUGUACAGUUUGAAAUGUCGUCAGUGUACACAGCAACCUUCUUUGUCAAGUCCAGAUGAAACUGCCAAGUGAGUGGUUGACCCUGAUAAAGAGGAUGUGACCGUCACCAGAGAAUUCAUCAUCAAUAAAGACUGCAGUUGACCAAACCUUCAGUUACCAAAAGAGAAGGAUAACGACAAAAUCCCCAACUGUUGCUGAAAUCUUCAAGGAAUAUCCCGGAUAUCUUGACAUGCCAGCCUUGCAUUGAGGAUGGACAUUGAGUUUUCCAAGCUCACAGAUGGAAAAGAAAACUUGCUCAUCCAGAAAUGGGAAGAGACCAUAAUUCCAAAGCUCAAGGAAGUAGCAUCCUUGGAGAAGAAAAAUGACAUCAAACACUUUCUGGAGAAAGCUGACAAUCAGCAUGAUGAUGAGUUGUGUUAAACUAUUUUGAAGAUCCUCAUUCAUCUUCUUCCACCCACGGCAUCUGGGAGAAGUGUUGCUGGCAGUAAAUGCUGUGUGAACUCUGCAGUCUCAUACCUGUUGGAGCAAGUGCUGGCUGGUACCAACGUGACCUCCUUGCUCAGUGGAUCCAUGAAAGGUUCCCUCUAGGACAUGGAGCCCAGUAUGUAAUUGUGGCUAAUAAUGAUUCUUUUGGCCUUCCACUUGAUGUUGGAAGCCUGACCUGUUCUGUAGACAGACUUUCUCAAAUUCUUCUGGCUGUGCAAUCUUCAGUGUCCAUGCCAACUGUCCUCUGUUUUCAAAUUUACGAGUAUUUUUUUUAAAUGACUGUGCCAAAUGCUUUCCCAGUUGUGAUUGGAUCUUUGUAGAAGGAAGACAAAUUGCUUGACAAGCUUAAGACAGACUCAUUUUGAGACUCACUUAUACCAGUUCAAUUCAUGUGACGAAUAAUAUCAGUUUUUUUGGGAACAACAUACUGGACAAGAUGCGUUCGGACUUUAAAAGAAGAUAAAAUCGAAGAACCAUUAUUUGGUGAGGUUAUACACAUUAUUCCCCAAAGUGAAAGAGAAUGUGCACGUAUGUUCUUGAGUUUUAAGAGUUAAAUAUUUUGAUGAACACCUUUUUUCCUUCACUGUCAUCAGAACUAAAGAUUAUGACAUGGCAAAGCUGCCUGGUGACUUAAUAGAUUACAGACCUUCAGAUAUUGUAUCAUUUUGUGAUCAGCAAUAUGUAACUCCUAAAUACAAAAUUUAGUUUUAAACAUGUUAGUGGUUGAAACUGUUGAACACAAUGUUUUGACCAGAUUUGAAAAUGAAUUAAUUUAUUAAGAUGAGCACCUUAUGUGAAUGCAUAAACAGUAAGUGUGUAAUGGUUAUUUCUUUAAAUACAGUUUUCCGGUUCAUUAAAAGUUUUUUUUCUGUAUGAAAAAGAACAUGUUGGUACUUGAGAAAAAGUUCAGAAAAUUUGGUAAUUUAUAUAUUUGAAACUCUUUCAUACAUAUUUGAUGUUUUAUUUGACUGUGCUUAACAGAUGUGAGUUUUAUAAUAUUUGAUGAAUG